CAACACAAUCCUUCUUUUAUAGCGUCAAUUUAUAGCGUUCUUUUAUAAAUGCUAUAAUUGAGAUGCAUUUAUAACGUUCCGUGUGAAACAGCGGGAAAAAAGAGGAGAACCAAACCGCGCAACACCUUUAAUAGCGUUGUAACAUGAAUUAUAGCGUUUAAAAGUGUGACCCGAAAAAAUCAAAAAAAUUAGGGCUCGCGCUCAAAGGAUCGCGCUGCAGUUUUUGUAGGGUAAAUUCUGUCCCAACUUCCCAAGGAGUUUCUCUCUCCGCACUACAGCAAGACAAUGCUUUUCCAUUUCGUUGUUCAUCUGUUCCGUAGGAGAAUCCCGUCUUCUCAAUCGGGGAUCUUCCAUCGAUUACAGAUCUGGUGCAUUUGGAGUCUCUACGGCGGAAGGGAGUUGUCCAGAUAAAGCUCUCCGAAAUGGUUUUCCGUCGACUUGAUGGUUUUUUCCGUUUAGGUCUGUUCUUCAACUGCUCUGCUGUGCCGACUUGGGUGCCAGGCUUCAGACAUGUGAGCUACUGGAGGGAUUGAACUACUUGGGAUUGUGUUUGCCGUCAAUGCAUUAUAAAGAAGCUUGGCUUGGUUCAAUUCUUCUUUUAUUCUCUUUCUACAAGAAUAAAGUAGUAUUUCCAACGUGUAAGUGAUAGUGUUAAUUAAUGUAUGUUCUAAUCAAGUCGAUCUCAAAAGGGACAUGUAGAAUGUAGUCGACGAGUUAAAGAAAAACCAAGUAAUUAGUUAUGAUUUUCUUUAUUAAUUGAAUGGUAUUGUGGACUACUUUGAAUAAUGACGUUUUCCCUUCAUCUUUUUGAAACUUUCUAGAGUUGGCAACCAUUGGAGGACUACCACGGUUCCACCUACACCCAUUUUUCCUCCCUCGGUAUGAAUGGUAAUUAGUUUUGAGCUUUUGAGAAAGAUUGCAUAAUUUUAUAUUCUUGCAUCUGAAUUAAUGCUAAUUGCGAUGAAUCUUGCUUUUAGUUUUCCAAUUAGGAAGUAUAUUCUUCGAGAUUGUAGUCUAUGAUUGAAUUUAAUGUUGGUUCGUAACUCCACUUGUCAGUUUGUUCUCCUACUUGAUGAUGCUACCGGUCUAUCACUACAACAAUUAUGACUUUCCAUAGCAUUAAUUAAUAGCGUUUUUUUUAGAAUGGUGUGAUAGAGAACCAAUAAUAGCAUUUUAAUUUCCUUCCUUCUGUUUGUGUUGGUGGGUGGGUUUGGGGACAAAUUUGCUAUCAUGCAGAAUUAAGCACGAAAGAUGCAUUUUCGCUGUCUCCAGUGGAUGGGGAAUUGCGUGGAAACUUGAACUAUGUACAUAUUUUUUGUAACGGGAGGUUUCUAAAAAAUGCCCGGGACUGUUCCUGAAAAGGCUCCGAUAUCUCUUGUCAAUUGCGUUAAUUACUCUAUUGGCUCCUCCUACUAUCCCAAGACCAACCCAAGCUUCUAAAGUGGGACUCAACAAAGCAAAGUGGGUCUUACAAGCUUCCGACUUUAUUCCGUGGCCUCCUCAUGAAGGGUCCAAAUUCAAGUAGAAUACCAUCAUCAUCUUCUGGUGAACUCAGAAAAUAGUGACCUUGCACUUCAGUGCCUCCAAGCCCAUGGCACGUGCACAGGUUGGCUCAAAUACCAUAGUUCAUAAGUAGAACAGCAGCACCCAAAGGGCUAGCCAAGGGAUAACAAUUGAAUUAAUUUGCUCCCAUGUUUGUACCCUAGGAAAGAUUGUUUCCAUCUGGCAUGUUUGAUUGAGCUAAAUAGGGAAUAGGUAGGAAUUGGGAGAGGGUAUGGCUCUGCUUGACAGUAUACAACUGUGUUGUUUGAAGGGGAAAAUGAGUCUUUUAAUAGAUUUUUCAUGUUUACAAGCAUGAAACUGUAUAUGUUCUGGCAUUCUAAAGAGCAAUUUCCAUGGAGGCAAAGUAAAUAGAAGGCUUGUUAGUUUCUCUACUUCCCAGUAACUGCUCGCCUCUGCAGGAUAAUGUGUAUCUUAACAUACAAGAGCGUUAAUGAUGUCUUCAAAGCUUGAUCCUGAUUCUGACAUUUUUGUUUUGCAAAAAUACCUAAUACGCCUUUUUAUACUGCAGUUAAGCUCUAGGAGAUGCUAGUUUUGCAAUCACUUACUUUGAAGAGAGUGUCAACGUACUUCCUUAAGAAAGUGCCAACUGAUGAUUUAGAGGUAAUUGCAAAUGUAACUUGUAUGAUGUAUCAUGAAAACUACGUCUCAAUUUCGAGACUAAUGUUUGGCAACAUUGAUGAGGUGUUACAACUUACAAGCAUGCUUUGGUAUGGUACACCAUUCUGUGUCUAAUGUUUUUGGAGCUAUUGCAGGUCAUACAUAUGCUCUCUGUUUCACUUAAUAAAGUCGGAGAUCUCAAGGAUUAUGAUGAAGAUUUGCAAGGUGCUAGAAGUUACUAUUUUCAGUCGUUGAAUGUUCGUCGGGAUGCAAUCAAGAAUCAUCCAGUUCUCCAUCUCAGGUAUGUGGAUGGCUUUGGGAGCAGAAAGGGUAUAAGCUCAGCAAAGAAGUACACUUCAAGUAAAGAAAUCUGCGGCAUGAGAUUGUCUCGUACAUGAUUUCAUUUUCAAGAAGGGGGAAUUAGAUUAGUUUUUUUUUUUUCAAUGAGUCUAAUUAGUUAGACUCUUUUAUGUAGUUUGUGUUGGAAAAUUGUUUUUCAAAGCUAAUGUAAUGAACCUAUAUUUAAUAUUGUACAUUGACGUUUGGAUAUAGUUGGUGUUGAAUGGAUUAAAUCA